rnacentral:rRNA from 1 species
GAUGAACGCUAGCUACAGGCUUAACACAUGCAAGUCGAGGGACCGGCGCACGGGUGAGUAACACGUAUCCAACCUGCCCUUUACUCGGGGAUAGCCUUUCGCAAGAAAGAUUAAUACCCGAUGUAAAGGAUGGGGAUGCGUUCCAUUAGGUUGUUGGUGAGGUAACGGCUCACCAAGCCUUCGAUGGAUAGGGGUUCGGAGAGGAAGGUCCCCCACAUUGGAACUGAGACACGGUCCAAACUCCGACGGGAGGCAGCGGUGAGGAAGAUUGUGCAAGGGGCGUUAGCCUGAACCAGCCAAGUAGCGUGAAGGAUGAAGGGUUAUGGGUCGUAAACUUCUUGUAUAUAAGAAUAUGUAUUAGAUGAAUAAGGAUCGGCUAACUCCGUGCCAGCAGCCGCGGUAAUAC